UACGUAGGGUGCAAGCGUUGUCCGGAAUUAUUGGGCGUAAAGAGCUCGUAGGCGGUUUGUCGCGUCUGCUGUGAAAACUCGGGGCUUAACCCCGGGCCUGCAGUGGGUACGGGCAGACUAGAGUGCGGUAGGGGAGACUGGAAUUCCUGGUGUAGCGGUGAAAUGCGCAGAUAUCAGGAGGAACACCGGUGGCGAAGGCGGGUCUCUGGGCCGUAACUGACGCUGAGGAGCGAAAGCGUGGGGAACGAACAGG
rnacentral:rRNA from 1 species